UACAGAGGGUGCGAGCGUUAAUCGGAAUUACUGGGCGUAAAGCGUGCGUAGACGGUUAUUUAAGUCGGGUGUGAAAGCCCCGGGCUCAACCUGGGAAUUGCAUUCGAGACUGAAUAGCUAGGGUACGGUAGAGGGAAGCGGAAUUUCCGGUGUAGCGGUGAAAUGCGUAGAUAUCGGGAGGAACACCUGUGGAGAAAGCGGCUCACUGGACCACAACUGACGCUGAGGCGCGAAAGCUAGGGGAGCAAACAGG
rnacentral:rRNA from 1 species